UAUACAAGAGAGAAAAAGUGAUUUUAAUUUUUUUUUUUUUCAAAAAAUUUAAACCAAAUAAAAUUUUAAAAAUUUUUCUCAAAAAUUAUAUUGUAAGAUACAAACCAAACAAAUCCUUUUAUCUCUGGAGCUGCAAGAAACUCAAGUCGUUGCCCGAUCGAAUGCGUAGCCUCACAUCUCUUCAAUCAUUGGACAUAUAUCACUGCCCAGGAAUUGGGUCAUUUCCAGAAGGGGGUCUGCCCUGUAGCUUAAAUCGUCUUGGAAUUGGGAAUUGUGCGAAACUUGUGGCUCACAGAGAGAGUGGGGUUUGCAAAGACUCCCUUCUCUUACACACUUUAUAAUCUUGGAUGAAAAUGAAGAAGAUGUUCUAGAGUCCUUUCCGGAGGAGGGUCUGCUGCCCUCAACUCUCAUAACGCUCUGAAUUGAAGAUCUACCAAAUCUCAAAUCGCUGAACAACAGGGGCCUUCAACUUCUUUGAUCCCUCCAAAACAUGGGGAUUGGAAGGUGCCCUCAACUGCAAUCCUUGCCUGAAGAAGGGCUUCCAACCUCCCUCGUUGUGUUGGAAAUCUUGGAGUGUCCAUUGCUAAAACCUCGUUGCUUAAGGGAGGAAGGACAGGACUGGCAUAAGAUUGCUCGCAUCCCCCUUCUGCAUACGGAUUCUGAACUCAGCUUUGAUCGACUCACUCUCGGUUCAACACAAUCUUACAGUCUUUUUCUUCAUUAUGCUUUUCAGUAGUCACAAAUAUUCUCAACUUUACAGUCAGGAAAAAAAGGUCAAAUGUUGGAAUAUUUCGUGUAUCAAUAACAAGGCUAAUGUCUCCUCCUCGCUCAAUCAGAAAAUCAGGUUGAUCAAAGCUUAGUGUUUAACACUAUGUACAGAAUUUCGUUCCUCGCAUCGGUUCUUAUGAACUUCUUGGGCGCAUCAACAUGGCAUGCAAUAUGUUACCGGUUGUAACUGAAGAUUUCUGUUGCAAGUAGAAGAAAGGAUGUUCUGUUGCAGUAUAAGUUUCCUUUUUGUGACAUAUAGUUUGAUUGCAAGCAGCCUCUCCCAGUAAUAAAAAAGAUUGUGAGUGGUUUCUGAUCACUAUUAUAAGCUUGCAUGUAAAAUUCAUGGAGGGUACUGUAAAAUUUUCCCUAGUAUUAUACUUUUUAGAUGAGCACAUUGGCAUGUGUAAAUUCUAAGUUGUGCAGCUUUGUGGAUUGUGUUCUUGUUGUAUCGAAUUGCUAUUCAGAUUUUCCUCAUGACUAUAUAUAUCUUGAUGUCU